CCUACGGGUGGCAGCAGUGAGGAAUAUUGGUCAAUGGACGAGAGUCUGAACCAGCGACGCCGCGUGAGUGAAGAAGUAUCUCGGUAUGUAAAGCUCUAUCAGCAGGGAAGAAGAAAGUGACGGUACCUUAGGAAUAAGCCUCGGCUAACUACGUGCCAGCAGCCGCGGUAAUACGUAGGAGGCAAGCGUUAUCCGGAAUGACUGGGCGUAAAGGGUGCGUAGGUGGUUUGACAAGUUGGUAGCGUAACUCCGGGGCUCAACCUCGGCACUACUACCAAAACUGUCGGACUUGAGUGCAGGAGGGGCAAAUGGAAUUCCUAGUGUAGCGGUGGAAUGCGUAGAUAUUAGGAGGAACACCAGUGGCGAAGGCGAUUUGCUGGACUGUAACUGACACUGAGGCACGAAAGCGUGGGGAGCAAACAGGAUUAGAUACCCCUGUAGUC
rnacentral:rRNA from 1 species